ACAAACAAAAGGAUGGGAAUAUGCUCUUUUCUCAGAAUAUGGUUCAUCUCAAGGCCAUUUACACUUUGGAGCCAGGCCUGUUCAGUUUUACAAAUAGCACAGGUAAGUAUUGAUGGUUUGUGCUUUCUUAGGGAGUAUAUUUAGAUGGCCACUUGAUGAUGAACAAUGUGAAAGACAAGCAUAUGGCUGAGCUGUGGUGAUGUCAUCUCACUACUGAGAAGUGGGCUGAAGAAAGAAGGUGCUGAGGUGGCUGUGAUUACAUUUUAAAAUGACAUAGUUUCUGUUUCCAGGUUACUGUGACAACAUGAAGAGUUGAAGGUACCUCCCAGGAUGAUUGCAGAUUUUCCCGGUGGUGAGUCUCCGGCAUUCAAAGGUUCUGUUAGUGCCAUACUUGUUGGUUUACAGAGAUGGUGUGUCUGGCUGAGACCAAAGGAGCCAUGCCAGGAAAGUUAAAGCGUAUCUUCAUUUUUAAGUCCAGGCUAAAGUAAGGUCUGAGGAAAAGAAUGAGCUGCAUGAGAAAGAUAGGAACAGAUCAUCAAAUCUGAUUGUCCGGGCCAGUGUUGCAUCAUAACAGGCCACUUUAAAAUGAAGUGAAAUUGACAAUUGUGAAUUUAACCUUCCUUGAUUACUACAUUGUUAACUCUAGGAACUAGUAUCUGGUCCUUACUACAUUGUUAACUUGUAGACCUGUGUUUAUGUCUAGCAAUAAAUGCUCUUUAUGCUA
ensembl:processed_transcript